UAGACCCUGCUUUUUUGAAUUAUAAAGAGAAAAUAUUGGUGCAUUAAAAGAACACUCACAGGAAAUGGCUUAUUGAGACAUUAUCAGAGGGUCUUGAAAACAACAAGAAAAAAAAAAAAAAGUAGUAAUUCAUGUUUAUCUCUGUCAUUUACAGGUACUUUGAGAGGAGUGGACAACGAAGGAAAAUCAAAAGAACCCAAAAUCUAAACAAAUAUCUGAAGAACGAAAGGAGAUCACUGAGGGAAAACUAUCACCUCAGAUGUUUACAGUGAACUCAUAAACUAUGUAGCAGUGACCUAGCCUAGUACUAAAUUGCAUAAGAAAGGAACAAAAACCAAGAAGUCUACAGAAGGAAAUGACCAUGCUGGAGAUGGAAGAAGAGAAUCUAUUCAAUGUUCAAGCAAUAAGGAUAGUUUUAACUGCAAGACUUCUUCUAUAACCAACAGAUUUAUUCCUUGUUCCUUUGAGAAUAAAAAUCUCCGUGUACCAGUGAAAGUCA
rnacentral:lncRNA from 1 species